rnacentral:rRNA from 1 species
UUUGAUCAGUGGCUCGAGGACGAACGCUGGCGGCGUGCUUAACACAUGCAAGUCGAACGGGACCAGGGGCAACUCUGGUUCAGUGGCGGACGGGUGCGUAACACGUGAGGAACAUGACUUUCGGUGGGGGAUAGCCGGCCCAACGGCCGGGUAAUACCGCGUACGACCAUUUGGGGACAUCCCCGAGUGGUGAAAGCAGCAAUGCGCCGAAAGAGUGCCUCGCGGCCUAUCAGCUAGUUGGUGGGGUAAUGGCUCACCAAGGCAACGACGGGUAGCUGGUCUGAGAGGAUGGCCAGCCACAUUGGGACUGAGACACGGCCCAGACUCCUACGGGAGGCAGCAGUGGGGAAUAUUGCGCAAUGGGCGAAAGCCUGACGCAGCGACGCCGCGUGGGUGAUGAAGGCCUUCGGGUUGUAAAGCCCUGUCGCCUGGGACGAACAAGCUCGUGAAGAACGAGCUCUGACGGUACCAGGAGAGGAAGCACCGGCUAACUCUGUGCCAGCAGCCGCGGUAAUAC